UACGUAGGGUGCAAGCGUUGUCCGGAAUUAUUGGGCGUAAAGAGCUCGUAGGCGGUCUGUCACGUCGGCUGUGAAAACCUGGGGCUCAACUCCGGGCCUCCAGCCGAUACGGGCAGACUAGAGUUCGGCAGGGGAGACUGGAAUUCCUGGUGUAGCGGUGAAAUGCGCAGAUAUCAGGAGGAACACCGGUGGCGAAGGCGGUUCUCUGGGCCUGUACUGACGCUGAGGAGCGAAAGCGUGGGGAGCGAACAGG
rnacentral:rRNA from 1 species